rnacentral:rRNA from 1 species
UACGGAGGAUGCGAGCGUUAUCCGGAUUUAUUGGGUUUAAAGGGUGCGUAGGCGGAAUAUCAAGUCAGCGGUAAAAAUUCGGGGCUCAACCCCGUCGUGCCGUUGAAACUGAUGUUCUUGAGUGGGCGAGAAGUAUGCGGAAUGCGUGGUGUAGCGGUGAAAUGCAUAGAUAUCACGCAGAACUCCGAUUGCGAAGGCAGCAUACCGGCGCCCUACUGACGCUGAGGCACGAAAGCGUGGGCAUCGAACAGG